UACGGGGGGGGGCAAGCGUUGUUCGGAAUUACUGGGUGUAAAGGGUGCGCAGGCGGACUGGUUAGUCUGGGGUGAAAUCUCAUCGCUUAACGGUGAAACUGCCUUAGAUACUGCCAGUCUUGAAUCAGCGAGAGGUUCGUGGAAUUCCGAGUGUAGCAGUGAAAUGUGUAGAUAUUCGGAAGAACACCAGUGGCGAAGGCAGCGAACUGGCGCUCGAUUGACGCUCAGGCACGAAAGCAUGGGGAUCAAACAGG
rnacentral:rRNA from 1 species